rnacentral:ncRNA from 1 species
CGAUCCCAACUCAAGUGAGAACACCCACUGAGUUUAAGCAUACAAUUAAGCAGAGGAAAAGAAACUUACAAGGAUUCCCCUAGUAUCAGCGAGCGAACUGGGAAGAGCUUAGCAUGAAAAUUGGGUGGCAGCGUCACCUGAAUUGUAGUCUAUAGAAGUGUCCUUAGCGGCAGACCGGGCCCAAGUCCCCUAGAAGGGGGUGCUUGAGAGGGUGACAACCCCGUCGGGCUGAGACCCUGCCGCACCACGAGGUAUUGUCAACGAGUCAGGUUGUUUGGGAAUGCAUCCCUAAUCGGGUGUUAAAUUUCGUCCAAGGCUAAAUACGGGUGAGAUACUGAUAGCGAACAAGUACCGCGAGGGAAAGAUGAAAAGGACUUUGAAAAGAGAGUUAAAGAGUGCUUAAAAUUUUUGGGAGGGAAGUGGAUGGAGGCCAACGAUGUGUCUUGGUCGGAUGAGAAAUGACUCAAGUUAGUUCGUCGCUCGACUCGAGGUGCGAACUAUCACAGGUCGUUGCAUCGGCACAAGUGUGGGUGGAGUAGUGCCUGUUGGUUUGUCGUUGUGGCGGUCGAGGAGCGGAGAAAUCAAGGGAUUACACCAACACUCAUUUAAAUUUAUUUUUAAUCGUUUGCCAAUAAUUCUUUUAGUUUGUUGAUAUUGAGCUCGCACAUGAGGUAGUUUAUAUCUAUGAGGAUUUAGGAUCAAUUUUUCAAGCCUGAAUUUGAUGUGUAAGUAUUUUUGAAGGUAUUGGAUCCCUUAAUGACUCCUUAGUACUGUUGACGAGUUGAAGAAGUUUUAAAUCACCAAGAAACCAUGAAGGAAACUCAAUGUUGCAUAGAAUAGGAGUUUAAUUUUUUUUAUGAGUUUAAAAGUUAGUAAUUGAACCUUCAUCAUUGAAGUAAGAAAAUAAAGGUGUCAAUUUUUUUGUAUAUUUGGAUAAUUUAGCCAAGAAAAGGAAACUUUCUAGGUUGGGAGGCUAGUGAGUCUCCAAACCUAGUGACUAAACCUUUUUGAGCCUUAAGGUAUACAAUUUACCCCCAAAAAGAAAAAUCACUUAUUCAGUGAGGUUACUUGUUGUCCAAACCAACUGAUUGAGGUUAUUGACCCUUUCAAUCAACAAAUUUCCUCCUUGGGGUAAAUCACUCACUUGUCCUUAUUUGUCCUUAUGACCUCUCUUGGGCCUUGUGCACUAGUUGGGGUAUUUUUAUAGGUUGAGGAGCCUCCAUUGGGUCCCCAAACUUCCCUAAUCCAUUAGGGCGCACUCUUCAAUGCAUAAAAUAAAACCGAUUGUUGCGUAGUUGCAUAAAGUUGCAUAGGUUCAUGUUGAUUUAUAAAGUUGGAUAGUGAUCUGGUGGUGUGUAGGAAGAGGCCUAGCACCUUCAAAAUGAUCAUUCUCCUCCAAAUAUCUAACUUUAAGGUUGCAUAAAUUGCAUAAAGUUGUGUAAGUUGCAAGUUGAGAAAUCAAGGGAUUCCACCAACACUCAUUUAAAUUUAUUUGAAUCGCUUGCCAAUACUUCUUUUAGUUUGUUGAUAUUGAGCUCGCACAUGAGGUAGUUUAUAUAUAUGAGGAUUUAGGAUCAUUGUUUCAAGCCUGAAUUCGAUGUGUAAAUAUUUAUGAAGGUAUUGGAUCCCUUCAUGACUCCUUAGUACUGUUGACGAGUUCAAGAAGUUUUGAAAUCACCAAGCAACCAUGUAGGAAACUCAAUGUUGCAUAGAAUAAGAGUUUAAUGUUUUUUCUUUUAGUAAUGGAGAAUUCACAUUGUAGAAUCUCAUUCAAUAUUUUUGUUGUUAUCUCUAUGAACCAUUUUUUCAAGAAAACAUCUAAGUUGUUGACUUGAAGGACUUGUUGAUUUCCCAAUCCAUCAUUUUUCCUCAUGAUAGAUAAAUCACUAAGUCAGGAGACCAAAAGUCCUUUAA